rnacentral:rRNA from 1 species
CCUACGGGAGGCAGCAGUGGGGGAAUUUUGCACAAUGGGCGGAAGCCUGAUGCAGCGACGCCGCGUGGAGGAUGAAGGCCUUCGGGUUGUAAACUCCUUUUGUAGGGGACGAUGGUGACGGUACCCUACGAAUAAGCCACGGCUAACUCUGUGCCAGCAGCCGCGGCAAGACAGAGGUGGCGAGCGUUGUUCGGAAUCACUGGGCUUAAAGGGCGCGUAGGUGGUAGGGUAAGUCCAGGGUGGAAUCCUAUGGCUUAACCAUAGAAUUGCCUUGGAGACUGCUUUACUUGAGUCAGUAAGGGGAGGGCAGAAUUCCUGGUGUAGCGGUGAAAUGCGUAGAUAUCAGGAGGAAGGCCGGUGGCGAAGGCGGCCCUCUGGUACUGGACUGACGCUGAGGCGCGAAAGCGUGGGGAGCGAACAGGAUUAGAUACCCUGGUAGUCCUAGCCGUAAACGUUGGGUGCUAGGUGUGGGCGGACAUCGACCCCGUCCGUGCCGAAGCUAACGCAUUAAGCACCCCGCCUGGGGAGUACGGCCGCAAGGCUAAAACUCAAAGGAAUUGACGG